CAGUCGCCGCGGGAAUACGAACCGUGCGAACGUUAUUCGGAAUCACUGGGCUUAAAGCGCGUGUAGGCGGAUUGGUGCGUCGGUGCCUGAAAUCCCCCGGCUCAACCGGGGAACGCGGCCCGAAACGACCAGUCUGGAGGGACGUAGGGGGAACUGGAACUUCCGGUGGAGCGGUGAAAUGCGUUGAGAUCGGAAGGAACGCCCGUGGCGAAAGCGAGUUCCUGGACGUCUGCUGACGCUGAGACGCGAAAGCUAGGGGAGCGAACGGGAUUAGAGACCCGAGUAGUCCCUGUCUCUUAUA
rnacentral:rRNA from 1 species